CAGAGUACAUAUAAACCCAAAAAUAUAAUGUCUGAAUCUGAAGUAGUUUUGGGGUGUAAUACAUGGCAAAAGGGUGGCAUGUAGACAUAGGUGACACAGGGAAUCUUGCACGAAGUCCAAGUGAGAAUAAAAGUAGAGGUUCCUGUGUUGCCAGCAUUUCUGCAUAGCUGCAUUUUUAUGCUUUUUGCAGGAGAGCCUGAGAUGAAAGAAUGCUGCAAAGUCAAAGCUGGAUGUGAGCAAGACCAUUGUGUUCAGCAGCUGAGGAUCGACUGAAGAGUUGCUGUUGAUAAUCAAGAUGCUUUUGCAAGUGAUUUUAGAUGGUCAGCAAUAUGUUUAUUUAGGACCCUUCCUGCCUCUUUAGCCAUUCUCUAUGGAUAAACUGGCUCAAAUUAAAAUCACUGGCUGAAAGAAUGUUCUUUUUGUCAGUUCAGUGGGUAAAACAGAGCUGACUUUCUGGUGAAAUACUUCAUUUCAUCCAAAUACAUAACAGGUCUGAUGAAAACAUCUCUCCAAUAUAAAAUAUUUGAAUGAGUCCUCACCUCUUAGUUUCUGAAAAAAUCUUAACAGAUACAUCUAUACGAAAAAGUGAUGUUCUCAUGGAUUUAAUAUUGUAAUGUAAAUGUUUUGUAAAGGCGUAAUACAAAAGUAAACAUCUGUAAAAUGUUUUCUAUGCAAGCCAGUAUGCAAAGAUAGGUCCUAAACRUGUUUGUUCAUUUGCAAAUCCCUCGUCUGGGCUUCACAAUCUGAAUCACCCGUUGGUUACAACCUUCAGUACACAAAAAGUGAAKUCUGAGUUGAGCCAGCCUCAGCUCUUUUAGGAGCCUGACCAUCAGGCCAGCUGCAUCAUUGCCUCUCUUCUCUCCCAUUUUCAAGUCAUGUUGUAACUUCAAAGGUAUAAGAAUGUUGGGUAUAAGAAUGUUUCAGAUUGUAGAUUAUGUGCAAAUAACACCACAACAGUAUGAACAUUCAUUAAGAUCUCUUAUUAUAUAUUAGAAAGCACUUUGUCAGUUAUCCUUAUUAUGGAAUUAAUUACAGUAACCACAAGAACAGGGUCUGGCCCUAUGAUCCUGCUGAUUGAUGCACUUUUCAAAGUGAAGGUUUCCAAUUUGUCUUUUAUUAGUUCUCAGGUUAUAGCCUGAUCCGGUGGAUCUGGAGAGUGACCAUUACAUCAAAAAUUACCCUUCAGUCCCAUAUGGGCCACCCAGCACUCAAACCCCAAGCCCCUUACUUGCUUCUGAUUCAAAGAGYCACGAGGUGUAGAGCUCCAAGGACAUUGGUGCCACAAAGGACAUGCCAAGGGGAAUAUGACAUUUCCUCAACACUGCUCACUCUGCACAUUUCUCAUCGAGGACACCCAUGGUGCCUCAGCCCAAGCCUGCCACCAAGAUGAAGAAUGGCAUUGGUUGCUGAAAUUGAAUGUUUUUUCCUUUAUUUGGGCCAAUUUUGAUCUUCCCAUCAGUUCUCCCAGGCAGAGUCAUCKGACGGGUUAUUGUUGUUUUCUUUUUAGGGAAAAGGAACAUGUUUGGAAAAAAUUAAGGUUCUUACAUGGACAUAGACUAGUCCACUUCCAGSAGAGAUGUGUGUAAAAGUCUAAGAGUGGUAACUAUUCAGAUAUCAAAGAACAUGGAGGAGUUGCCAAUAUUUGUCACUCUCAGCCUCUUUUGGUAUUCUCAGUGUAGGCCAAUAUAACACAGAAAUUUUUCCAGAACAAACAUAUCACCCCAACUGUAACAUGCUUAUGUGACUGGAGGGUGACACACACAUGCUAAUGGAUCGAUCCCUCCUUUGUAGAAGACUCCAAUUUAAAUGUAGAAAUUACAUAGGAGGUUGGCUAGUGGUGCUUAUGAGAAGGUGACCAACCAGAAAAGGCGAGGGCCUUGUGUUAUGGAAGAACAAAAAUSAAAUCACUAUGACACACCCCUAAAUGCUGGAGUCACAAUUCAAAACAGGCAGUUUCCUAAAGAUGAAGAGCAACAGCARAGUUGUCUGCUGCAAAGGGAAAUAGAAAAAGCUAAAGGAUAACCAGAUAUAUUAAAACAAGCAAACAAAGGGACAAACCCCAGCAGAACCAACCAAAACCAAAAUUGUUCCAUUAUUUCUGUUUGUUUGGGACAAGUAAUUUGGAUAAAUCUAUCUAUCUAGCUUCUAAAAAGAUAUCAAAUUCCUUUUUGCACAUGUAUCUACUACACUUUUGAAGUGGUAAAUGAGGGGAGGUAAAGAAUGAGAUCAAUUUCUUACCCUAAAAUAUGUGAGUCAUUGAUAAGAAAGGAUGCCUGUGKCUGAGGGUAUGUUUUUUUCCUUCUCUAUUUCAAGGAAAAUACACUAAAUUAUGCCAGUGAAAAUGUUUUAUAAUGCUAUGAGUUCUCAGAAUAUGAAGACUAAAUGUCAAUUAAAACAGAAACCACACCAAAACAGAAUCCCUAAAAAGGUUCUUUGGGAAAUUCUAWUUUUCACACUUCUUGAAGAUGUAUUUAUUUCUAUGUCAGUAUUGCUCUAUUAAAUGUAAAGACUAUUUAUUAUUACUAAAAUCAAUAGAAAUUUGUGAAAAUUUUUGCUGUUAAAAAGUAGAAAAGAAAAAUGCCAAGUGGUCCCAAACGUUUUUCUAAUUUUAAAAUUGUGUUUAAUCUCAGUAUAAAUUAGUUUAAUAGUAUCUGCGUCAGGAAGUAAAAUUUAUUAGUUUCUGCAAUUCUGCCUUAAUCCAAUAAAUUUAGUAGUACCCUGUACUUUAGUGCUGACAGUUAAAAAUACGAGUGGAAUUCUUUUUUUAAAUGGAAUGUGUUUAGCAAGAWCAUAACCCAAACACUGGUGUGAGAAACUUGUAGUAGUCUUUACUUUCUAUCACAAUGUGGACAAAGAACAGGUGUUCUACUUCUCCAGUAGGAAGCAUUCCCAGAAAAUAUUGUUGCAACCAGUGGGUGCUUCCUUACAGUCUGUUCUUUUAGAAUUCUUUAGGCUCUCAACGUUCCUAGAAUUGGUCAAAAAUAUGCUAGACAGGCAAAGGUAUGACAGACAAAUAYGUACAUAUUUCCAUGUGUGUGCACUUAUUUUGAGGGAAACGAAAAAAGCCCAAUAAGCAAACACAGGACACAGAACUGUUCACGCUUUAAUCCUCACGAAGGAAGUUAAAAACAAAAAUAAAAGAAAAAAAAUUAAAAACCUCAUGGCUUGAGCGUUUCCUUCCCCUUCUAGUUUAAACAAAAAGAACUUAGUAACAGAAAGAAGUUGUAGAGUAUCAGAAAGAAGUUGUAGAUCGAGAGGACAAGGUUGGCAAAAAUUAUAUAAAUCUUCCCGAGGAAAAUGUCUAUGCAGGCAAAUGCUAACAGGCAAAAAAUUAUAAAGGAACUCUUGAAGCGUCCAAAGCAGAAGCAAACU